UCAAACUCUGAAUCAAGGUGCUGAAAUCAGAGAAGUUCAUAACUUUUAGUACUGCCACUCAAGCUUUGCCACCGGAGGAAUCUUUUUCAAUGAACCCUUUUGAUCAUGUGCUGGUGGAUGGAGACAUGAAUGCUAGUGGUGAAAGAGGUGUUGAUCAUCCUUUUAUUAUUGGCUUUGCUGCAACCAUGGAUAGCAAUGGAAUCAGUGUGAGCGGUGAAACAGAUGUACAGGAAGAUAACAUCGCAGAAAAUAGCAAUAUUGCCCCUGAAAGUCGAGCUUACUGACUGCACUAACGGCAAUGGGAUGCAGAGUUGUAUGACCCCAAUAUGAAAGUCACAGAUCCAAUAUUUCAAGAAACUAAGGCUUCUGAGGUUCCCAGCACUGAAUAUGCAGAAGAGAUAGCAAAUGCACCUAUAAAAUGGAAGUUGAGAACAAUGAUGAUCUUGAUGAUCAAGGUGAAGAAGUUGGACUUGAACAUAAUCGUAGCUCUUCCUUCGAAAUAGAUGGUUUAAUGUCAACUGCGGAUAACAUUUCGUUGGUUGGCACAUUGGAGCAAUUAAACAGUACUAUCCUCAAUCUGGAACAAAAGUUGAUGAUCCAGACAGAAAGGAUAGUGAUGCAACAAAACAAUUAGACACUUCCUUCACCAUUGAAGAAGCUGGGGUCUUGGAUGGUGAAAAAGCAAUUGUUUCUCAACAGAGAUCUUUUCAUGGUGUUGAAGAGGAAGAUAUCUCAUCAUCUGCUGAUACGCCUUGUAGUAAGACAAAGAACAUUCACAAGCUAUGGAUGAUAUCGAUGUGGUGGGAACUGAAAUCUCUACUGAAUGCGAAAUUACAAGGGAGGAAAGAGAUGGGUGCCAAACCAAUUCCGGAGGUUUUAAUUAUGUAAUGAUGGUACCUUGGAAGAAAUUGUUGG